GAGGGAGGAAGAAGCACCAAGUGGAGGUUGAGUUUGGUGUGUUGUGAUUUGAUCAGGGUUGAGGACAGGUUGCUGGGUGAUCAGAGCAUGUGGUUGAGUUUGCGUAGGUGCUUGUUGGGUAAGAGGUGGUUGAGUUAAUGUUUGGUUUGAGGGAAGCUCUGGGUUGGUGGGGUUUGUUAUGUCUGCUAGAUUGAUAGGGGUCUCAAUUUUUAAAGGAGUCAUGGUUCGGUCCACACUCACUGGACCAAUUGUUGAUAUUGGGUAUCAUCAAAGGUAAAACAAGAAGGAGAUGAUGUUGGUGACAAGAAGGUCAGUUCACCUGUUAUGGGUGAAGAGCUAGAGUAAGGAAGGAGGAGGAAGAGAAGAGGAACAGAAAUAAGGAGAGGAAGAGAAGAUUGUGUGCUAAGGUAUAUCGCCAGGGUUGCUGAAAAGGGAGAAGAUCCCUUUAUUCUUGUGUCUUGAGGUAUUUAUAGGUGGGGAUUCUAAUGUCUAGCCAUUCCACGUUAUCGCCAAUCUUAGGGUAUGGAAAAUGUAUGGUCAACCAAGUGACAAGGCCGUUAUACGUUAUUUGUCAUCAAGUUUAUUACGAUUCUAAUAUUCUCUUUGUUGAGGUAGUACGAGAUUACUAGACUUCAAUGAUCUCCUCUUGAUGAUUGUAUAUCCACUAAUAGCGAUUAUAACCCCUAAUUUUACGGAGUUAAAUAUUAUACCAAGUCAUAACACCUAUAUCUACUAUUAUAAUUCGAUCUAUUAGCAAAGCUAUGAGCUAACUAUUACAAAUCAUUAACAAACCCUAUGCUAACUAUUGUAUCACGUUAGGCGGGUCCGAGUUAAUUAUGUAUUUUUGUAUGUGUUCUCAUGUGCAAUGCAUCAAUUUUCUUUAGGUGAAAUCAUAUUUCUAUAGACAUUACAUGUUGAUCGAUGAAGGAAAUUCGUAUGUAUUUUCGGUGAAUGCUCUCAUCUUCUUGGAGUUGCUUCUUUAUUUAUUGCAGCUGAUGAAUAUGUAAGCAUUGCAUCAAGUAAUGGCUAGAUCUUCAUUUACUACAAACACCAUCUUAUCUUUCACCUUUGUGUAAUUGGUUUAAAGAACAAAUCCAACUUGAUCAUGUCUUGAUAAAUUUUUAGAUAGAAAUUCAGUUCAAUCUCGA
rnacentral:lncRNA from 1 species